UACAGAGGGUGCGAGCGUUGUCCGGAAUUACUGGGCGUAAAGAGCUCGUAGGUGGUUUUGUCGCGUUUGUCCGUGAAAAACUCACAACUCAAUUGUGGGCGUGCGGGCGAUACGGGCAGACUGGAGUACUGCAGGGGGAGACUGGAAUUCCUGGUGUAGCGGUGGAAUGCGCAGAUAUCAGGAGGAACACCGGUGGCGAAGGCGGGGUCUCUGGGCAGUAACUACGUGAGGAGCGAAAAGC
rnacentral:rRNA from 1 species